UACAGAGGGGGCAAGCGUUGUUCGGAAUUACUGGGCGUAAAGGGCGCGUAGGCGGCCUUCUAAGUCGCACGUGAAAUCCCCGGGCUCAACCCGGGAACUGCGUCCGAUACUGGAAGGCUUGAAUCCGGGAGAGGGAUGCGGAAUUCCAGGUGUAGCGGUGAAAUGCGUAGAUAUCUGGAGGAACACCGGUGGCGAAGGCGGCACCCUGGACCUGCAUUGACGCUGAGGCGCGAAAGCCAGGGGAGCAAACGGG
rnacentral:rRNA from 1 species